AUUAGGGAUAUAAAAAAUAAAAAAUAAAACGUACACCCGGUGAGUCGAAAACCAGAAAGUGCAGCACAGGCAAAAAUAGGGUAUCCCAGUGGAUUGAAAACCCAAAAGGGCGGUCCGCGCAAAAGAGGGAAUAAGCGAAUGAUUGCGAUUUGAGUUCAUCCGUGUUAUAUCACCGUUUCAUUUAAUCCGGCGAUCUUCGAAGGUUAAAGAUCGACUAGUCAUCCACUUUAGAAGGCAAGAUGAGCAGAGCGUCUUGAGGUCAUACGAGCCAUAGCAGAGUCGAAACUCAGUGGGACCCCGUAUCCGCAUUCCCAUUAGGAUAGUUUUCUUUUGUUCAAUUUAUAGCGAUCACCUCUUUUCAGGGAUCGGCUUCCUGAUGUACUCGCCUAUUCCUGGCACAAAUUUUUCA
rnacentral:lncRNA from 1 species